GAAGAGGUUUGGAGAAGUUUGUCGCUUUGAAAAACCUCUUUGGGGUUUUUGGAGAGGAAAGUCCGGGCAACAUAGAGUACCAUGCUUCCUAACGGGAAGGUGCUAAUUCUUUUAGCAGAGCAACGCAACAGAAAAUAACCUCCCUGUCUAUUUCUUAUAAAUGGGUUUAUACAGAAUAAGCGAAUGGGCAGAGAAAGGGUGAAAAGGUGGGGUAAGAGCCUACCACUGAAAUGGCGACAUUUUGGGAUUGUGUGCCUCAUGGGUUGAAAGACCAAGUAUAUCGACCAAUAGAAGGGCUACUCGUCCGUAUAGGGUCGAAGGGUGGGUCGAGAAGAAUUUUGUGGCGACAUAAAAUCAAGAUAAAUGGCAAACGAUUGUUCCUUUGUGGAGCACUAACAGAACCCGGCUUACAGAGAACUUCUUCUCUC
rnacentral:RNase_P_RNA from 1 species